UUAAAUUUCGAUGUAAAAUCUCACCACUAUUUAGUUCAUCGCUUGUUAUGCAACAACUAUGAAGAUCAAACACUAUUACAAACAAGUAUAUAAAGAAAUAAUCUUUCAACCCUUAACGAACAUAACUCGGUCCGCCUGUAAGGAUUCCCGAGAAAAUAUCAAGCUCUUUACAUCUCAAAAUUUCCUUCCUUUCUUCUAUUUUUCCUUGUUCAAAGAUAAACGGUGGUAGAAUCCAGAUCCUCGGACGGGAUAUGAAUCACACGUCGGAAUCCAGUGCAAUCUGUCUGCCAGACGGUUUGCUUCCGGUGUCGUUUAUCGAGUACGCGGCGAUCGGAUAGAACACGCGUGGCUGUGUACUGUGUAUACACGCACACGAGGAAUCCCGAUGGAAUCCCGACGGAAUAGGCUAAGAGAGCACUUGAGGAUGCCUAGUCUCUGGCAGUGAAUGGCGGCACGAGUGGCGGACAUUUCGGUGCCUCCAAAGCUCAUUGGUCCGCAGCUGACGUGUACAAGGAAAUGGCAUUUAACGGAUUAAAAGCGGCCAUCCAGACAGCUAACGCAAUAGUUCCCGAUAACGGCUGGCUAGAGUUAGAAUAUUUUUUUCCCCGUUCCCCUUCUAUCCUUUUCUUUUUUUUAUUUUUUUGUGUUUUCUACUUUUUGCUUUUUGCUUCUAUUUUUCCCCAUGUUUCUUUUUUAAAUCGUUUUUUGGUUUCUCGUCGAGCAUUCGUUUUUUUUUUUUCAUCCCAGGCUCGCUUCGCUCGCGUACACGCGCGACCAGCCUAUUGAUUUCGAGCAAAGUGCCAACCAUUCCAACCUACGAAUCACUUUACUUCGAUCGAACCAUCACUGAUAAGGAUAUCGAUGAUACUCGCGAUUUCAGAAGGUAAGUGAAAAUAAACGAUUAAGAUUUGCUGAUCUGAUUCUUUGCGUUUGUUAACAGGAAACUCGAAGAAAAUGAUGGAUCGUGGCACUCGGUUAAAUGGAGAACACUCCUGCGGACGCAGAAAGGGUGUAUCAUAAUUUAAGACCUGUUCGCUGCGGUGAUGUUGGUUCGCUGAAUAGGUGUUACGAUUGAUGGUUGUUGGGAGUUUGAACAUGUUUUCUACGGUGAAGUUUUGUGGUUAACACCAGGUCUGGAAGAAUCAUUCCGAGAAUUUACGGCGAGCUUGUUGCCAAAACCACUGGUGUAAAGAAAGGGAACUCGCAGACAUAAAGGAGACGGAGACUUGCGACGAUAAUGGCCCUCUCAGACGAAGAAGUUAAUUUGGGAAAGAGGAUUCCGUCGCGGACAAAACGCUUGUAAUCCUUAACAAAGGGUGGUCUCAACUUCCCUAGCCUGCGUUGUCCCGAGGAUGGUAAUCUGCAAAGAGGGAGAACGGUCCCUCCAAGUUGAUUCUUCGUUCCUCGUGUUUGACAGUGGGGGAGGUUUGUUAUCGACGAACAACGUUUUAAGAAUUCUUGUUUGAUUCGAAUCAGAGGUGUGAAUAUAUGCAUUGAUUUUUGAUAUUAAUAUUGAUUUAGGGAGGAAGAAACGAACUUUAUCGUAAAAAUAAAUUUCCCUUUUAUCGUAUAGAACGAUGUGUUUAUAUCUCUAUACCGUGGAAGAUAAUUAAAGGAUCGUUUUCUAUGAUUUUUAUAUUCAUUACUUGUAAAUUUAUUAGUAUGUAUGUUUUAACUAUAAUUUUUAUUAUGAUUCAUCCUCUUGUAUUUAAUUUUUCAGGGUUUUUAGUUUUUAUAUUUAUAAAGCAUACAAUCAAGCCUUGAAACGAAAAUAUAUUACACGUGUCGUAGGUAUACUACAUUCAUAAUAAAUAACUAUAUCCUUUUCUUUCUGCUCUCCUCGAAACAAAUGUUUAUGCGUUGCUUAAGCUGCUCGUAUGGUUUGUUCAUUUUUUACAAUUAUUACGUUACAUAAGUGAAAAAUCUCUACGUAAAUGGAGCAACUCUUAAAAUGCUAACAAAUGCAUUUAUGUAUUUUUUCAUAUCACGAAUAUUAUGAACAUUUAUGAUGAUAAUUUUAAAAUUUGUUUCGAGUAUGGAAAUAAACGUGUACGUGUACGUGUAUAUUCAUGUUAUAACGUUAAUAAAGAUGUACGCGAACGAAUAGAG